AGCAGUAGCCACGGUAACACGGAGGGGGCUAGCGUUGUUCGGAAUUACUGGGCGUAAAGCGCACGUAGGCGGCUUGGUAAGUUAGAGGUGAAAGCCCGGAGCUCAACUCCGGAAUUGCCUUUAAGACUGCCGAGCUAGCAGGUGAGAGAGGUAAGUGGAAUUCCGAGUGUAGAGGUGAAAUUCGUAGAUAUUCGGAAGAACACCAGUGGCGAAGGCGGCUUACUGGCUCAUACUGGACGCUGAGGUGCGAAAGCGUGGGGAGCAAACAGGAUUAGAUACCCCUGUAGUCCCUGUCUCUUAUAC
rnacentral:rRNA from 1 species